AUUGAACGCUGGCGGCAGGCUUAACACAUGCAAGUCGAGCGGGGAAGAGUAGCUUGCUACUUGACCUAGCGGCGGACGGGUGAGUAAUGCUUAGGAAUCUGCCUAUUAGUGGGGGACAACAUCUCGAAAGGGAUGCUAAUACCGCAUACGUCCUACGGGAGAAAGCAGGGGACCUUCGGGCCUUGCGCUAAUAGAUGAGCCUAAGUCGGAUUAGCUAGUUGGUGGGGUAAAGGCCUACCAAGGCGACGAUCUGUAGCGGGUCUGAGAGGAUGAUCCGCCACACUGGGACUGAGACACGGCCCAGACUCCUACGGGAGGCAGCAAUGGGGAAAAUUGGACAAUGGGGGGAACCCGGAUCCAGGCAAGCCGCGUGUGUGAAGAAGGACUUUUGGUUGUAAAGCACUUUAAGCGAGGAGGAGGCUACCGUGAUUAAUACUCUUGGAUAGUGGACGUUACUCUCAGAAUAAGCACCGGCUAACUCUGUG
rnacentral:rRNA from 1 species